rnacentral:lncRNA from 1 species
UGGGGCUCUCAGCUUAGACCCCGGGCAGGGUACCAGGCAGUUCGCACACACUCGGGCCCUCCUGCUGGGAGAAGAGUCUGCGUUUUGCUAAGCAGGGACCUGUCACGUCCUCUGAGGGCAGGGACCACGGCUUGCCACUCACCUCUGCAUCCCCAGUGCCCGGCACAGGACAGGAGCUUAGGAAGCUAUUCCUCUCUCCGCCGGCCCCCAUCACACAGAGAAGGGAGCCAUUGUGCUCCAUGUGGCUUCAGAGGAGAAGAGCAGGAGGGGUCCCGGUAAAUCCUAAGUCGGACCACGGCG